rnacentral:rRNA from 1 species
UACGUAGGUGGCAAGCGUUGUCCGGAAUUAUUGGGCGUAAAGCGCGCGCAGGCGGUCCUUUAAGUCUGAUGUGAAAGCCCACGGCUCAACCGUGGAGGGUCAUUGGAAACUGGGGGACUUGAGUACAGAAGAGAAGAGUGGAAUUCCACGUGCAGCGGUGAAAUGCGUAGAGAUGUGGAGGAACACCAGUGGCGAAGGCGCCUCUUUGGUCUGUAACUGACGCUGAGGCGCGAAAGCGUGGGGAGCAAACAGG